rnacentral:lncRNA from 1 species
UUGCUUCUUAGUGCAAUUAAUAAAACUUUAAGGUAUCGUUUGGUUCGGGAAUAAACAAAAAGUGGGUAUUUCAGGGAUAGGUAUAAAUUGAGGUAUAAGCGGGGAUUAGAUCAAUUUUGCGUUUGGAUGAAAAUUGGGUUAUUCCUCGGAAUAAGAAAAAUAACGUUUGGUUAGGUAAGAUGGAAUAAGAUUUAAAGUGGAUAGUUAUAAAUAAAAAAUAAUAAUAUUAUCACUUUUUUAUUUAUAUUAGAAUUUAAAUUUUUAUAUUUUAUAUUUAUAUUUUAAAAUUUAAAAUUUUAACUUUUAAAUUUCAAAUUUUGAAAUUAAAAUUUAAAAUUUAAAAUCUCAAAUUUUAAAUUCAAAAUUUAAAUUUUAAAUUUCUAACUUUAAAUUUAAGAUCAAAUUUAAAUUUGAAAAAAAAAUAAAUUCAAAUUUAAAAUUUCAAAAAUUUAAAAUUUCAAAAUUUAAAUUUAAAAUUUAAAAUGUGGAAUUUAAAAUUAUAAACUUUAAUUUUGAGAUUACAAAUUUUAAAUUUUAAAUAUAAUUUAUUAUAAUAUUUUAAAUUUUAAAUUUAUUUAAAUUUUAAAUUUUAAUUUAUUUUAAUAUUUAAAUAUAAUUUAUUAUAAAAUUUAUUAUAAUAUUUAAAUAUAAAUAAUAUGUAUUAAUAUAGCACAAUUAAUAAUUUUAUAAUAAAAAUAAUGUAUUAUAAUAUAUAUAAUAUAUUAUAUUUAUAUAAUUUAGUUUUAAUUUACUUUAUAAUUUUAAUUAAGUUUGAAAUUAAGCAUGAGAAUAGCACUAUUCCACCAAAAUGGUGGAAUAGUAAAAAGCUUGCUAUUUUGGAAUAACCGGGAAUAGCAAGCUUUGACCGGAAUAAAAUAUUCCGAUAAAAAAUGAUCCCGUUUGGCAGAAUAGCGGGGAUAAUCCCCGCUUAUCCCCGAACCAAACGGGGCCUUAAAGGUUUUCUCUGUGUCAAAUAUUGUACUCUACUGAAAACUACUGUUACUAAGGGGUAAAACUUGAGUGGCGAGCUUUCCAACGACACCUCAUAGAGAAGCCCCCGAUCUACUGCCGUAUGUUAGUUUUGCCUCCAUUCAAAUAGUUCAUUGAGUGUUUUCAGUACUAAAAUUCUAAAAAAAAGGCUAAAAUAUAGAAAAUUUUUAUAAAUGCCCGCUUUUUUUACUUUUUGUUCUCUGACUUUGAAAAAUCUAUAUUUUACCCCUUUAAAAGUUUAAAAAUAUUUUUAGUAGGGUACAACAUUAAUAAAAAGGAUAAAAUGAUCAAAUUACCUUUACUACUUCUAUAAAAAUUAUAAUAUAUAUAUUUAAUACAUUUUUGUCAUUUUGAAUGACAUUUUCAGUAUAAAUUAUAAGAAAUUGACGGAAUAGUGAUGAAACUCUGAGGGAGGGGGGCUAAAUACAAUAACUUGAAAUUUUUUUUUUUUUUUUUUUGAGAGAUAGGUAGCACGCUACCCGUUUCAUUUAUUUCAUUUAGGAAUAAACUUAGCUGGAAAUAUGAAUCAACUAGGAUUCGAAUUUGGAUCUCGAGUACCAACCAUCAAACCCUUUGCCACUUACACUAGGGACGGUCGGUUAUUUAUAAAGAAAUUUUUUAUAAUUUAGCCAAAAAAAAAAGAAAUCCUUGAGGAAAGGAUUACAACCUUUAGAUAGACAUAAAAGUAACAUGUAGCGACAUAUUAGGACUUCUUAAAUCUUAACGAAGCGUAUAGCCGGCGAGCUCCUCGCUGAAGUUUUUCCCAUCACUAAGAGUAAAAGCAGGAGUACUAUUGAUAGUUAGGCCAUCAUUUUGCUCAUGUGGCUGAGGUAGGGACGAACAAAGUUUCGAUCGAAACUCAUAAACAUUAUGUCUGUACGUUCUAUUUAUUUAUUUUCUUCUAGAUCGAACUUUUGGAACUAUGAUUAACGCGAAUGACACACAAGUAGGACCAAGGUGG